AUUGAACGCUGGCGGCAGGCGUAAGACAUGCAAGUCGAGCGGGGGGAGGUAGCUUGCUACCGGACCGAGCGGCGGACGGGUGAGUAAUGCUUAGGAAUCUGCCUAUUAGUGGGGGACAACAUCUCGAAAGGGAUGCUAAUACCGCAUACGUCCUACGGGAGAAAGCAGGGGAUCUUCGGACCUUGCGCUAAUAGAUGAGCCUAAGUCGGAUUAGCUAGUUGGUGGGGUAAAGGCCUACCAAGGCGACGAUCUGUAGCGGGUCUGAGAGGAUGAGCCGCCACACUGGGACUGAGACACGGCCCAGACUCCUACGGGAGGCAGCAGUGGGGAAUAUUGGACAAUGGGGGGAACCCUGAUCCAGCCAUGCCGCGUGUGUGAAGAAGGCCUUAUGGUUGUAAAGCACUUUAAGCGAGGAGGAGGCUACUCUAGUUAAUACCUAGGGAUAGUGGACGUUACUCGCAGAAAAAGCACCGGCUAACUCUGUGCCAGCAGCCGCCGUAA
rnacentral:rRNA from 1 species